CGACCUGAGCUCAGGCAAGAUUACCCGCUGAACUUAAGCAUAUCA
rnacentral:rRNA from 1 species